GAUGAACGCUGGCGGCGUGCCUAAUACAUGCAAGUCGAACGCUGCUUCUCCCACCGGAGCUUGCUCCACCGGGAGAAGCGGAGUGGCGGACGGGUGAGUAACACGUGGGUAACCUGCCCUUCAGCGGGGGAGUAACACUUGGAAACAGGUGCUAAUACCGCAUAGGUCUUUUGUCCGCAUGGAUGAAAGAGGAAAGACGGCGAAAGCUGUCACUGAAGGAUGGACCCGCGGUG
rnacentral:rRNA from 1 species